CCUACGGGAGGCAGCAGUAGGGAAUCUUUCACAAUGGGCGAAAGCCUGAUGGAGCAACGCCGCGUGCAGGAUGAAGGCCUUCGGGUUGUAAACUGCUUUUAUAAGCGAGAAAUAUGAUGGUAACUUAUGAAUAAGGAUCGGCUAACUACGUGCCAGCAGCCGCGGUCAUACGUAGGAUCUGAGCAUUAUCCGGAGUGACUGGGUGUAAAGAGUUGCGUAGGUGGCAUAAUAAGUAGCUAGUGAAAUCUGGUGGCUCAACCAUUCAGACUAUUAGCUAAACUGUUAAGCUCGAGACCGUUAGGGGUAACUGGAAUUUCUAGUGUAGGAGUGAAAUCCGUAGAUAUUAGAAGGAACACCAAUAGCGUAGGCAGGUUGCUGGGACGGUUCUGACACUAAGGCACGAAAGCGUAGGGAGCAAACGGGAUUAGAUACCCCAGUAGUC
rnacentral:rRNA from 1 species